UACGUAGGGUGCAAGCGUUGUCCGGAAUUAUUGGGCGUAAAGAGCUCGUAGGCGGUCUGUCGCGUCUGCUGUGAAAACUCAGGGCUUAACCCUGAGCUUGCAGUGGGUACGGGCAGACUAGAGUGCGGUAGGGGAGACUGGAAUUCUUGGUGUAGCGGUGAAAUGCGCAGAUAUCAGGAGGAACACCGGUGGCGAAGGCGGGUCUCUGGGCCGUAACUGACGCUGAGGAGCGAAAGCAUGGGGAGCGAACAGG
rnacentral:rRNA from 1 species